rnacentral:lncRNA from 1 species
UUUGUUCAUUAAUCUCAAAUAAAAAAAAAUUGUAGGCCACAAUUUCUUUAUUAGUUACAAAUCACAAAUUUUAUAACUCAUGGGGGUAAAAAAUAAUCAAAUUAUUUGUGACAGAUUAACAAAUUUUUUGGUCACAACCAAUCAAAUUAUUUGUGAAUAUGUCGUGACCACCGAUUUAUCAUUGCCUCUAGUCGCAGUGUCACACAUUCGUCAACACCUCCUAGCAACACCACCGUAGGCACUACCUCCAACAAACCACUAUUUCCAACUUCAAAACCACCCCCACCACAAACAAACCAUCAUUUUAAGCUACAAAACCACGACCAAUGUCAAUACCAAUAUCACCUCCACCACCACCCGCACUACCACUGCAACCUCCAUCCCCAUCUUACCAUCAACGCCACGGUCGGCCAGCAAAUGCAGCAGCACCACCUAGUGUACCAAAAAUCACAACCACAAUCUCCAUUACACUACAAUCAUCACACCCACAAAAAAAUCCCCAAAUUCGAUGUUGCUGUCGCCACCACACCAUCGCUACCACCUCUUUAUCAGAUCCACAGGCUGAAGUCCACAAUCUCCGCAUCACUGCAAGUCGUGCGAUUGUCGUUGCAAGUUGUGCGACCGUCAAUGGUGCUGCAAAUUGUGCGAUUGUAUUUUACAAUCGCAACAUUGCUGCCUGCAGUAACUACAUCGCCGCGCCAUUUUGCUCCGCCGCCUUAUCGGAUCCACAGCUGUAGGAGGAGCAGAUUCAGCGCCUGCUGCACCGCGACAAUCGAAGAAUACCAAUGCAAGAGAGGUAGAUCGACGGCGGAUAAAUAUGGUGGGCGAGUAGAGAGUGAGAGACGGAUUAAAGAGAGAAAAUGGAGAGCAAAGAUGGAGAGAAAUGAAUUAGGUUUGGGUGUAAAAUUGGGACGGAAAAUAGACGGGUCGGUUUGUAGAUGAACAUAAUUUUAUAAUAAUAUUAUUAAUAUUUAAAAGAUAAUUAUUAUCUGAUUUUUGAAUAAAAAUCCUUUCAUUCUUAUUUUUUAUUUGAAAAUUUAAAAAGCCUGUGUGUAGAUGUAAUUUUUAUUUUUUGGAACUAGAUUCUAUCCGUUUUUUAUUCUAAA